UAGUAUUCAAUUGUCAGAGGUGAAAUUCUUGGAUUUAUUGAAGACUAACUAUUGUGAAAGCAUUUGCCAAGGAUGUUUUCAUUAAUCAAGAACGAAAGUUAGGGGAUCGAAGACGAUCAGAUACCGUCGUAGUCUUAACCAUAAACUAUGCCGACUAGGGAUCGGAUGAUGUUAAUUUUAUAAUGACUCA
rnacentral:rRNA from 1 species